AGGCAUGAGAUUCAGUGGUGAAGCUGACCAAUUCCUCCCCUGGACUCACAGAGCUCUGAUUAGUGACAACAGAUAAUGCAGACAUUUAGACAAUGGAUCAUUUGGCUAUAGUUUUGGUAAGUUGUAGAGAAAAAGAAAAACUGAAAACAGAGACUCAAUAACAGGUGGACGUCAAGCAACCUUGGUGAUGGGAGUGUGGGGACCUCCUGGAGAAGGAGAGACCAAGACAAGGUAUGGCUAGCACAAGUGUGGUGAGGGGCCAGCAUCCUCAACCUGGAAGAGGAUGAACUAGUCUAAGAACUGUGUGUGAUCAGGUAACAUUGCACCCUGAUCACACAGGGUCUUGUGCACCCUGAAGUAUUUCUGGAUUUUAUCUUCCAGGAAACAGGAAAACUUUCAGUAAAGGAAGAUAUGAACAGAUUGAUGUUUUGAGAAGAGCACCAUUCUGUAGGGACUGCUCUUCAGGAGGACUGUUCUGAUAUAAACAGUCACAAAACUCAUCAUUAACCCAACGCCUAGAUGAUGAGCAAUCAGUAAUCUAAGUGGUUUAUGAGGACUUCUCACGUAACCCUCACACAAGUCCUCAAAAAAUAAAAUAAAUUACUUCACAGUUGAGUGGAAUUAGACAGGAAGAGUCUUUUGUCAUUAUCAUGGUCUUGGAGGUUUGGAGAGGAGUCUCUUAUGUUGAAAUUGGCUCAGGGAGCCACCCAUGAGAAGGCACAAAUGUGGUAAUUACUCAGAUUGUGUGUGUCCGGGGAGGGGAAGUGGCCCACUGGGAGGAGUUUGGUUUGUAGGUAGGAGCUGGCUUUGCUGGGUCUGGAGAGUUUAGCUCAGCCUUAUCAUCAACCCCAUGGAUUGACAGGUGGAGACAGUCGGAAUUCACUUGAAGGAAGUUGGUUCCCACAGUGAGGAAAGGUUAUGUGAACCACAGCAAGAAGGGGCUGUCUACAACCCUAGGAGAGAGCCUCCACCAGACAUCAACCCUACUGCUCCUUGACCUGGGACUUCCAGUCUCCAGAACUGGUUCCACUCAGGAAUAGAUGUCACCCUCAUAUGCCCUGUGUCAUCAGCCUCCUGCAAUCUGAAGAACUCCUCAGUGUUUCUCUGUCCCUCAUCCCCUUGACCGUCUUCAGGAAUAAAGGAGUUGCAUUCCAUAGGAUGACCCUCAAUCUGGUUCCACCCAAUGUCUACUUAUAAGAAGACUGAGGUCAUGCAUUCCUGGAUGCACAUCCCACAAAUGAGAUUGUGGUCAUGUCCCUCAACAUCAAGGGCUCAGGAUGUCCUCCUAUCCUGUCCCUAGUGGUAUUCCCUCUGAUCACCUGGUCAAGCAGGUAUCUGUCAGGUUUCUCAUGCUGAGGUCCCAAAUUUUCCCUUGGAGUUUGGGGAUAAAUAUUUGAGUAUUCAUCCACUAUCAUGGCCCUCUUCAACCAUGCAACUGUCAUUCUUAUUACAUCCAUUGAUUACUCUAACCUGAUCAUGCACCAUGCUGGUAACUAAAUAAUCAUGGUCUCUUUUAAUUACUCCAGCCUUGAUUAGUUGGCAUUCUACUCUAACGUUUUCCCGUGUAUUAAUUUAUUAGUUAUUCAUUUACAAAUAUGACUAUGAAUUAUUGGCUUUCUGUUCUAGUCAAUGCAUUUUAAUCCAAUACUCACAUUCUUUACAUGGAUGUUUUGAUUAUCCUAGAUUUUUUCCAAAAGUUUCUUCUGGCUGGCUCCUGUGUCAUUCUGACUUGUCUCCACCAUUCAUUUUUGAGAGCUUUUGCACUUUCUGGCAACAAUAAGAUGCUCCAGCAUCCUCUAGGGCUCCCCUGUCUCAACCUGGAAUAAAGAAUUUCUGUAUCCUACAACUUACUGAAUUUAUUAUUUCUUAUCAUUUUUUUGCAAAUUCUUUGGGGCUUUAUGUAUAUAAAAUCAUGUCAUGUGCAAAUAGUGACAGUUUUACUUCUUCUUUUCCAGUUUUGAUCCCUUUUAUUUCUUUUUCUUGUCUAAUUGCUCUGGAUAGGACAUCUAAUACCAGGUUAAAUAAAAGAAGCAAAAGUAGGCAUCCUUGUCUGCUUCCUAUUCUUAGAGGGGUAGCUUUCAGUUUUUCAUCAUUGAGUGUGAUAUUAGGUGUGGGUUUGUUA